UUUAGAAUAUUGCGCAAUGGGCGAAAGCCUGACGCAGCGACGCCGCGUGAACGAUGAAGGCCUUCGGGUUGUAAAGUUCUUUUCUGUAGAACGAAACGGCAGGUUUAUAGCUUGUUUUGACGGUACUACAGGAAUAAGCCACGGCUAACUACGUGCCAGCAGCCGCGGUAAUACGUAUGUGGCGAGCGUUGUUCGGAUUCAUUGGGCGUAAAGAGCGCGCAGGCGGUCUAAUGUGUCGGAUGUGAAAUCAAUCGGCUUAACCGAUUGACCGCACCCGAAACUAUUAGACUUGAGUAUAGAAGAGGAGAGUGGAAUUCCCGGUGUAGCGGUGAAAUGCGUAAAUAUCGGGAGGAACACCAGUGGCGAAGGCGGCUCUCUGGUCUACCACUGACGCUGAGGCGCGAAAGUUGGGGUAGCGAACGGG
rnacentral:rRNA from 1 species